rnacentral:misc_RNA from 1 species
UUGAGUUUUGAACGGGUUGUAGCUGGCCUCUUACGAGGUAAUGUGCACGCCUGGCUCAUUCCACUCUUCAACCUCUGUGCACCUUUUGUAGGACAUCAUGAUGAAGGAGGGGCCUUCGAAAGUCGGCCUUUUUGAAGUCUUGUUUCCUACGUUUUCAUUACAAACGCCUCAGUUAAAGAAUGUGUCUUUGCGGAUAACGCAUUUAUAUA